ensembl:snoRNA
UUUCCCAUUUGACUGCCAUGUUUUCUUUGAUAGUAGAUUUUCAUGGAUAUGCUUGUGGGAUAGAGUGAUGCUGCCGUGAUCUGAAGGAGGGGGGUUUCCUGUGUCGUCCUCCUAUAUGAAACGGCCGGACAUCAUGGG